rnacentral:rRNA from 1 species
GACGAACGCUGGCGGCGUGCCUAAUACAUGCAAGUCGAACGCAGUGGGGACGGGUGAGUAACACGUGGGUAACCUCCCAUCAGAGGGGAUAACACUUGGAAACAGGUGCUAAACCGAUACUGAUGGAUGGACCCGCGGUGCAUUAGGUAGUUGGUGAGGUAACGGCUCACCAAGGCCCAGAUGCAUAGCCGACCUGAGAGGGGAAGCGGCCACAAUGGGAAUGGGACAAGGCCCAGGCUCCUACGGGAGGCAGAAGUAGGGAAACUUCGGGAAUGGGGGGAACCCUGAACCGGCAACGCCGCGGGGGUGGAGAAAGUUUUCGGAUCGUAAAACCCUGUUGUUAAGGAAGCGGUACUUAACCAGAAAGGGACGGCUAACUACGUGCCAGCAGCCGCGGUAAUUC